rnacentral:lncRNA from 1 species
UUUGAUCCCAAUUUCACAAGUAGAUGGGUAUGGCAUUGGUUAUCAGCAAUGACGGUUUUUUGUUCUGUUUGUGUCCGCUACUUUUGGAUUGUUUUUCACCAAUUAAGAAUUCAUCGUAGCUGGAUGUAUCAAAAAAGAUUAGUCCAAAAUAAACGAGUUAGCGUGAGAGACUAAAUCAAAUUGUGCUUGAAUUUGCUAAGAUCAGGUUGAUCAUAAAUGAAUUGAGUAUAGUUUUUGGUCUUUUUCUUGAUAGGUUAUUAUUUAUGGAACCAAUCUUUAUUAUUUCUACUUUUUUAGGAUAGUUUUCUAUUUCAAUCGGGAAAGAAACUCAAAUAUACGAAGCUUUAGAUUCUAAAAACAUAUUUUUAAAAAUAAAUAUUUUUAAUAAAAAUAAAAAUAAAAAUUAAAAUUAAAAUAAAUCAGUCAUAAAUUCCCAAUAUAAUUUGUACAAGUAAAAGGCUCCUGAGGCGGCUCGCGUCAAGACUACGCACCGAGUUUGCUAUAUAUUAUAUAAUAAUACAAAGCGGUCGACGCUCGGUCCAAGGCUCGAAGCCCGACCGAAACUCUUCGCUUAUCAUCUGCAUCUCUCUCUUCUCGGCGACCUACCAUCACUCUGUCCUUCUCUCUCAUGGCGGAGAACGGCACGCCCUCCCCGGCCG